CUCUUUUUCGGCUUCAACUGUGUGCUUUACGCACACUGAUGCUGCUGACGUGCAAUUAAGUUGCUGCCCACGAAAAGCUGCGGUUUGUAAUUUUAGGCAAUUCGGAAGGGAGCUUUUGGUUCAGGGCGAUGUAUACCCAAGCAGAGGUUUUAUAUGCAAAUAUGGAUAACGAUUGAAGUUCUCCAGGUGAUUCGAGUCACGUGUCGCACAUCCGUGCCUGUCCAUGGUUCAUUCGCACUCGACGAUUAUGGCAAAACCGACUAUGACUACGAUAGUGUACGGAAUCGUCAUUCAGACUCUGCGCGCGAGCUGCGUAUCGAUUGGAUGCAGCUCCAGAGGAAUUAGCUACAGCAUGACAUCCACUUGGAGUUUAUACCGCUCCAGCUUUCUCGCUUUGCGAUGGACCUGCAGAUGUUCUAAAAUUUAACGCCUGUUUUAUCAUGAAUGCCUUGUAUUUUUGCACUGACGAAUAAAGUGACUACAGUCUGA